rnacentral:rRNA from 1 species
CAACGCCGCGUGAGUGAUGACGGUCUUCGGAUUGUAAAGCUCUGUCUUUGGGGACGAUAAUGACGGUACCCAAGGAGGAAGCCACGGCUAACUACGUGCCAGCAGCCGCGGUAAUACGUAGGUGGCGAGCGUUAUCCGGAAUUAUUGGGCGUAAAGGGAGCGUAGGCGGAUAAUUAAGUGGGAUGUGAAAUACUCAGGCUCAACCUGGGGGCUGCAUUCCAAACUGAUUAUCUAGAGUGCAGGAGAGGAGAGUGGAAUUCCUAGUGUAGCGGUGAAAUGCGUAGAGAUUAGGAAGAACACCAGUGGCGAAGGCGACUCUCUGGACUGUAACUGACGCUGAGGCUCGAAAGCGUGGGGAGCAAACAGGAUUAGAUACCCUGGUAGUCCACGCCGUAACGAUGAAUACUCGUGUGGGGUUCACACCUCGUGCGCGCUAACGGCAUA